rnacentral:rRNA from 1 species
AAACUUAAAUGAAUUGACGGGGGCCCGCACAAGCGGUGGAGUAUGUGGUUUAAUUCGACGCAACGCGAAGAACCUUACCUGGAUUUGACAUCCCGGGAAUCUUUCUGAAAGGAUUGAGUGCCCUUCGGGGAGCCCGGUGACAGGUGCUGCAUGGCUGUCGUCAGCUCGUGUCGUGAGAUGUUGGGUUAAGUCCCGCAACGAGCGCAACCCUUAUCUUUAGUUACCAUCAUUAAGUUGGGGACUCUAAAGAUACUGCCCCGGUUAACGGGAGGAAGGUGGGGAUGACGUCAAGUCCUCAUGGCCUUUAUGUCCAGGGCUACACACGUGCUACAAUGGGUUGUACAAAGGGUUGCGAACUCGCGAGAGUAAGCCAAUCCCAAAAAGCAACUCUUAGUUCGGAUUGGAGUCUGCAACUCGACUCCAUGAAGCUGGAAUCGCUAGUAAUCGUGGAUCAGCAUGCCACGGUGAAUACGUUCCCGGGCCUU